GCUGUUGUCGCUGCUAGCGGAUCCAUAACAUCAGGUUACUGGACGGAGAGGCUUUACACACUGCACAUGAUACCAUGUGGAAGUCACAUGAGCGCCGAGGAUGAGGCACGAACAACAAGGGGGCAGACUGAGGAGUGAGCCGCUGCACCGGGUCUCCUGCACGGAGGGGGUCUGCUGCUUGUAAAGAGCCUGCACAAGCAGCUCCCCCCCUUGAUCUCCCUUUCCUCAACAUUUACGAUGAACAACAGCACGACUGAGCCCCCUCCCACAGAUAGGGAUGUGUCAGUCGCCUAUGUGUUGGUGCCAUUUCUCCUCAUAACCGUUAUUGGAAUAGCUGCAGCUGUGAUUAUGUAUAUUCGUAGGAAAAGGAGAGUUGACAGACUUCGUCAUCAGCUGUUGCCAGUUUACACAUAUGAUCCCUCAGAGGAGCUCAAUGAAGCUGAACAAGAAAUCUUGUGGAGAGAGGAGGACACAAGGAUUGUACAAGGCUGGGCCAGAAGUUAUCAACAGCGACGCCCUCUUCUGACCAAAGACGUCAACGCUUGAUGCUCGUGAACCCUGUCGUAGAAUACAAUGUCAGUGCAAAGACGACCCUUCAGCCACACAGAUCAGUCAUUUUUGAAGUCAUGCACAAUACUGCUCUAGUUUUUCUUUACUCCUGUUUGCCAUUAUCACUGAUUACAUCAGCAACAAUAAGCAUUUUCCCAUUUCCUGUGUAAUAUACAAUAUGACUGUUCAUUUGUGAAGCCCUUAUGUCACUUCUGUGUGCCUAACAAACGCAGUACCUUAUUUAUUUGAAAUUAUUUAUUCAAACAUGUUUUUACUGUGGUAUUCAGUGGUAUGACUCAGAGUUCAGGAAGUUGGACGGCAUAAGUUCCUGUAGGUUUACUCUGUUGUUUAUAUUCAUAUUGUUGCUGUGGGCGACGUGUGGCAAGCAGUUGUGUUCCUGUGGGUUGCAGUAGGCAUUUGUAGUGACUGUAACAUAGGGGCUGUGUUUAGUGUGGUAAGAGUAUGAAUGUUGUGCACUAGUUAAAUAUCAGCACUUCUGCUGUAAGAGAGCUUGUGAGCAUUGCUUAGAUUGGUUUCUGUGUCGAGGCUGUUUGCUGUGCUUUCUUUGAUGAAAUGCCUCUAGUGCUCAACAAUCACAUGUGUUGACACGAAACACUGCAAUACCACUUCCAAAAGAGUUUUAAGCUCAAAGCCUCACGUAGAUAAAGUGAAACUAGGUCUCAAGAUCAGGCCUCGGUUCAUUUUGAGUCAAAAAGUUGAACAACCCACUUUGGUUUUAAUUUGCUUAUUCAAUUUAAGCAGCUGCCCUGCAAUUCACAUCUUUUUGUGGUUUAGCCAAAUCCUAUGACUCCUAUCAGUGGCAUGAAAAGCCAGAUAUGGAAGUAAAUAACACCAGGCUCCUCUCAUCCCUAAAAUUGUGGUGACUAGUGCCCAAAAUAUGUCCUGUCUUCAAGGCAUGGCACCAGCAAAUUUACCUCCAGAUGAAGAAUCUGUUCAGAUGAAUUCCAUAGGUCUGACUGUAUCAAGUACUCAGGAAACCUUACCCUUUUUUUUUUUCUAAAAGAAUUAUAACCGUUCCUGGCCUUUAUUUGCCUUGCGUGUGAAUGUAAACUAAGAACAAUAGAACUGUUUAACUGUCCUUGAAAAGGGGACAUUACUCAGUUCAGCAGUUAAUGUAUUGUAAAGAGCAGCUAAUGCUCAAACUUGUGAUGUUAUCUGGUAUGACAUCUAGAGGUGCUUUGAGUAAAGGCCUUUAUGUAAAUGCUUCAUGAUCAUUUCUGGAGCUGAAAUCAUCUCAGUGCUCCCCGAUCAUAUUUCCAUCUCAGUAGUUUCCUCUGCGUUAUCUAGCUUUUUUUUUUUCUAAUGUGAAAAAAACCCAAUGAAACGAGCCAUUCAGAAUUUAGAGUGUACACAUGUUUGAUCAGAUUUGCACUGGUGAACUUUGCAUGGAAGGCUCGGAUUUCACUUGACAGGUCAAAGAACUACUGAUGUAAUUUUGGCAGCACUGUUUCUCCUUUUUAGACUGUUGUACCAUGUUGCUUUGAGAGAGACUUGGCAACGCUGUUGAUUGAGACACUGAAGAUGUAAAUAAAGUAAUAUAACUUUU